rnacentral:rRNA from 1 species
ACCGCCUUAUAGAUAUAAUUAGAAGGACGCUCAAGCGUGCGGGGGGAUUUGUGGAGAACGGGUGAGUAACACGUGAGUAACCUGCCCUUAACUCUGGGAUAAGCCUGGGAAACUGGGUCUAAUACCGGAUAUGACUCCUCAUCGCAUGGUGGGGGGUGGAAAGCUUUUUGUGGUUUUGGAUGGACUCGCGGCCUAUCAGCUUGUUGGUGAGGUAAUGGCUUACCAAGGCGACGACGGGUAGCCGGCCUGAGAGGGUGACCGGCCACACUGGGACUGAGACACGGCCCAAACUCCUACGGGAGGCAGCAGUGGGGAAUAUUGCACAAUGGGCGCAAGCCUGAUGCAGCGACGCCGCGUGAGGGAUGACGGCCUUCGGGUUGUAAACCUCUUUCAGUAGGGAAGAAGCGAAAGUGACGGUACCUGCAGAAGAAGCGCCG